rnacentral:piRNA from 1 species
UCUCAUUGAUCUGACAAAGAUCUGCUUGGU